rnacentral:rRNA from 1 species
AGCUAGGUCUAACAUUGUUAGGUCGUCAGCUUCUUAGAGGGACUAUCGGUGUCUAACCGAUGGAAGUUUGAGGCAAUAACAGGUCUGUGAUGCCCUUAGAUGUUCUGGGCCGCACGCGCGCUACACCGAUGAAGUCAACGAGUUCUUUUCCUAUGCCGGAAGGCACGGGUAAUCUUUUGAAACUUCAUCGUGAUGGGGAUAGAGCAUUGCAAUUACUGCUCUUCAACGAGGAAUCCCUAGUAAGCACAAGUCAUCAGCUUGUGCUGAUUACGUCCCUGCCCUUUGUACACACCGCCCGUCGCUACUACCGAUUGAAUGGCUUAGUGAGGCCUUCGGAUCGUUAGUUAAAAACUGUAAAAGGUUUUUUUCUGAUGAGAAGUUGGUCAAACUUGGUCAUUUAGAGGAAGUAAAAGUCGUAACAAGGUUUCCGUAGGUGAACCUGCGGAAGGAUCAUUACAAAUCAUGGCGAACCUCGCGUUUCGCGAGGUCUUGCGUCCAUUUUCGUAUUUAAAACAUCCCACUCUUUAAAAAAAUAUUUAUCUAAUGAUAAAAAUAAAAUGAUCACUUUCAACAACGGAUCUCUUGGCUCUCGCAUCGAUGAAGAACGUAGCGAAGUGCGAUAUGUAAUGUGAAUUGCAGAAUUCCGUGAAUCAUCGAAUUUUUGAACGCAAAUUGCACUCUCUUCGGAGAGUAUGCCUGUUUGAGGGUCAGUCUAUAAAAAAUCGACAUCGUUGCUGUUUCGCGGUGACGUUCGUCGGAAAUUGGGUCAUCUUAAAUCUUUUGGUUUAAGCGACUUAAAAUUUUCUUUCGGUUCCGUGAACGUUUCUAAGAUUUAUUUCUUUACACGUUUAAGGUAUCGAUUUUUAUUAGACGUGGCCGUCAAAUCGGGUCGCGUCCAUAAUUUUUCAUUAACUGACCUCAGACAGGUAAGAGUACCCGCUGAACUUAAGCAUAUCAA